CUGGCCUGCAGUUCCCUGAACCCAGCUGGUCCCACACCAGCAGGCCUUCCACGUCUUGCUCCUAAGUUAGGGACACCCUCUCACGUGCUCCUUCUACAAAAUGGCCCCUAGGUGCCACCUCCCCUGGGACGUCUUCCCUGGGGCCCAGCAGUUGUGGCUCUCUUCUGCAGGGAGGGGACAGCCCUCCCCCAUCUCUAGAUAGCAUUUAUCACAGUUUUGCAACCUCUGUUUACAUAUCUGUUGCCUCCACCAACAGAAGGUUUUCGAGAAAGGGGACAGUAUUGUUUACCUCUGUUCCUGACAGCCAGCUCAAGGCCUGGCCUUACAAGGUCCUGAGUGAAUCUUUAUUACAGACAUACACGGGAAAAUGGUUGGCUGGAUGGAAAGCUCAAUGGAAAGACAGGGUGAGGGUGGAUGGAUGUGUGUACAGGUGAAUGGGUGAACCAGUGCACAUCCAGGUGCUGAGUGGCUAAGUGGAUAGGUAGACAGACAGGGGAGGGGAAGGGCC